CCCACGAGUUUCAUUCCUUUCAGAAUCCCUAGAUCUUGCUCCCAUCUCUCCAAACCCAUCUUUCCACCUGACAUUGAGAGGACUGUCAUGGAUAAACCUUUCCUUUUCUCCCAAAAACCCUUCCUUCAUUCCAAACCGUAAGUCCUACAAUUUAUUUUUCUUUGGUCCAUCCUCUCCAGAUCUCACCAUCUCCUUUCAAAUCUCAAAUCUCAAACCAUAUGUCGGAUGCCAUCAAAUAGUGCAUGAUAUGUCAGAAGUUAUAAAACAGUGUAGGAAGUCAUAAAACGUUACUAAAAGUCAUGAAAACAACAUUAGAAGUCAUGAAAUAGCACAGAU
rnacentral:lncRNA from 1 species